AGGUUCCCAGCUCACACCUGCGUCACUCUCACGCGGGUGGCUCGGGGGCUAAACCUUAGCCGCGCUCGCCACCACCUCCUCACUCCUCUCACUGCCUUGCCGUCGCUAGAGCCCACCAUCGGAAACCACGCGGUCAGCUAAGAACGCAGCGGCGGGGAAACUGAGCCAGCGAAGCUCCUCCUCGGCACAGGAGGCGGAGCGGAGCGUGUCGGGUGGGAGGUGGCAGCUGGCGGAGCGGUGCACAUCGGGCGGGGGAUUCUCCGGCUUGAGGCGGUGGAUCCGGCCCCGCCCCGACUAGAUCCGGUUCCCCCGUGGCCAGACCCAGUGCCCCCGCGCAGAUCUGGCCGGGGAGCAGCCGGCGAGGGUGGCUGUGUGUGGUGGGGGUGACAACGCGCAGUGGGAGCCCAUGGACGGCUUCGCGUGGACGGCACCGAUGGCAGUGGAAGGCCGGCUCCAGUAGCUGGCAGUGGAUGUGUCGACAAUGCUGGGUGGAGGCUCGUGGCCGGCGAGUGCAGCAUGGAGGUGGCGUGAGGCCGACGGCGACGGUAGGCAGCGCGACACGAGUUUAUGUGGCUGGGGGCAGCGGGAGGCCGAUGCGGCGUGAGUUUGCGUGGUUGGCAGCGGGAGGUUAGUGUGGCACGAGGAUGCGUGUUGGAGGCCGACAUGGAGCGCGCGACGAGGGUGGUCGUGUGGCAGCCCGCGGAGGCUGGCUGAUAGGGGGCAUCGGUGCAGCAGUGCCCAUGCGCCGACGAUUGAUUUAGAUGGUGAUGAAGCAAGGGUGUAUCAACUAUCGAUAGGCAGGCGACGGGUGAAAACCUAGCCCUGUUUUGGCCGGGCUGGCAACGAUGGCAUUUCGGGCAUCACUUCCCAUCUUGAGGACUUUGUCGUGCCAUCUUCUCUAGCAAGGCUGUAGGGUGAGAACCUAGUCUUGGUUCUCUUUGAGACCUUGAUGGACAGUGGAGGCGGUGCUUCCGUCACUCCUCUCCUUGGAGACAUCGUCUAGGCAGCCCCCUUGCCGAAACCUCCCAGACAAACUAGUCCAAGCUCGCUCUAGACUCAUGCCCUCUUGUGGCGGCGCUCUAGCUUAUACAAGUUGGCCAUGUCAGAGGGCUUAGGGGGGAGGGGAGCGGUUCCAUUCUUCUCUCGCACCCUCUCUUCCUCAAUCCUGAAGAUGUGGCUUGAGUGGAGUUUGGUGUCGGUUGUUAGGGUUACGAUUUAGGCGAUCCCACUUCUAUACCUUUGUUGCCCUAGUGGCGGCCGGUCACGUUUAGCGGCGACUGAUUCGGUGCUAGCCUUCUCCUGUGUCUAUGUUCUGGAGCUGUCAGUGUGUGGGUGGUGGUUAUUUUCUUCUUUUUCUUGGAUACGAUCUUCCACGGUUGUAAUCUUGUAAUUUUUUCCUGCUCUAUCAAUAUGAACUUCGCGCUGUCCGGUGCAAGUUCUUCGG
rnacentral:sRNA from 1 species